CCUGUGUUUCCUUGUCAGUUAUUUAUUCAACGAUUCAUUUGUUUUUAUAUUAUCUUUCAGUCCGUAUUUAUGUAUUGUAUUUAUUUUUAUUUGUAUAUCCCCGACUGCUAGUCUUUGCGUGUGACGUUGAUGCAAGACGUUAGAAUUCAAAUAACGAGAUUUACACAGUCAGUAUACAUUCUGACUUGAGACAGUGAACAUGUUUCUUUUGUUAGUGUAUACUUUGACAAGGGAAUUGAAAUUAUUCUUAUAAGACAACAUUUUAUCCAAGGCUUUAGUAGUCCUCAUCAGUUAAAAAUGGAGAAGUAUCAUUUCCUUCGAACACUGCCACGGGAAAAUAUGACACUGCGGAUCUGGCAAACCAUUGGUGAUGUGACGUCCUCUCGUUUUAUGCUGACUGAUGACGAUUAUAAUCGUUUAUAUAUAUUGCGCUGAAGAUGACUCAAAAUAAGUCGAAACAUUCGUGGUAAUUGUAAUUCGUUAUGAAAUAAACACAUUAAAAUUGUAUUUCGAUAAGAAAUAAACAUUUGCGCACUUA